UCAUCGCAGAGGAAUCCUGCUGGUUGCCAGCACAAGCUGUGCCAGCCAGGAGCUGUGUCUGCACAGCUCGUCACCACCGUCUGCAUUUCCCAGCAUCGCAGCUCUGUCUGGGUUUGGGGCUGGCCACAGUGCCACACAACAGCAGGAGACAGCGUGAGGCUCAAACUCGGGGUCUGUACCCCACAGGGCAGCAGUGCAAGAACCCCAGAGCUCUGUCUGAGCUUACUCCUCUGGGGACACCGAAAUACCACUGAACGUGCUAACUGGGCAGGCUUUUAACAGAAAAUUCGGAGACUUCACACCAUGUUCACUGAAACCUAUGACAAGCUUCCUGUUGACACCAGUGAAUUGUGGACAAAGCCAGUAUCAUUUGAGCUGCUCGUCAGUACAGGAGACACAUACGCUCCUGAAGGUCUCUAGAAGACAACAAGCAAAUUAAUUUUUACCUCCGAGUGCAAGCCCAGACAAGAGGCCGGCCUCACUGUGUUACCUGCCAUGCGGGCUGCAGGAUGGCAUGUCUUGUGCUGGAAGAAUUUACAAUCAAGCAACACACCUAAGGGAUGGAGAGGAGUAUGUGACAUACAUUUGGACAUUCAACAUACAUUGAACAGAAAUGUGUAUAUGCACAUGUGGCCAGUUUAAAAGUACUGAACAGUCUGACAGCUCUUGCUUCAACUCCAUCCCCCUUAUCCAAUCCAUUGCAACCCUUAUACUGGAAAACCUGAGCUCCAGUUGUCCCAGACAAGAGGAAGGUCACCUCUCAGCCUUCCUGUUCAAGCCUGGUGAGACCAGGUCCACACUGCAGAAGUCUGGGCACAGAGAUGACAUUGUCUCUGAGUCAACUGUGUCCCCAUUCAGCAAAGCGGGCAGUUUGUCCUUGUGUCCCCAGCCACCAAGAGUUCAGCUGGGAUAAAGGGGCUCUGCCCACACCUGAAGACAGAAGGACAUGACUCUCUAAUGGCACACAACAGUGACCAGCCACAGCUUGUGCUCAUUUCACACAGUUGAGGCUUUUUUUGAAAAAGGAUUAGGAAUGUCCAAACUCUGAACAAUGUGAGAACCUGCUUCUAUACAGCUGAAGAUUAUUCCAGCUGUUUGGGGCUGGGAGCCUAAAAAAGCGAAGCUUGCCUCCCAUAGUCAGUAGAGCUCCAGACACUUGGAUGUGAACGCUGGGUUUAAGCAGAGGGCAGACUGGCAGCUCGUGCUAGAUAAAAGGACACAAAACGGUGCUUUAAAUAAGAAGUGAAAGGUUAUAAACUUUAAAAAUACCCUUCAGGAAAUGUGUGACUGCUUUUCCUGCUUUUCUGUUGCUAGCCGCUGGGUCUUUUAUUCUGUUUACAAUUACAUCUUUCCAUCCAUUUUUUUUUCCCUCUUUUCUUGUGAUGUUUUGUUUGUUUGUUUGUUUUAGGGACAAACUUUUUCUAAGUAUGCAGCAUGGCCUUCUCUGGUUGGGGCUGGGCCAUGGGAAGCAGCAGUGCCUAUCAGUGUUGUUCUGGCAGCACCCUAGGCAAGAGGCAGGGAACCCACAGGGAUAAUGUGUUCCCUGCACUGGGAGCUUAAAAACACAUUUUUGUUGAGUCAGCCACCUGGGCUGGUCACGCCACUGCUCUCCCUCCCUGUCACGGCUGCUGGAAGGAGCAGUGUCAAAGUCCAAGCCCACGUUGGAGUCUGUUCCAGGCGCUGCCUGCAGUUUGCUCCUGCCUGCGUGGAGACGCUUAGCGCCAGGCUCACCACUGCACUCAGGUCACCUGAAAACGAAGAGGACCUGUCGCGAUUUAACCCAAGGUUGCAAUAUAACCAUGAUAGCUGCUUGCUCACUCCCCCCACACCACCCGUGAACAGGGGAGAGAAUCGAAAGGAAAGCGAGAAACUCUAUCCAACUGCAAAUUACACUGUCACUGUAUCGACACAUAAAAAAUAAAAGUUACAUAUAAAAAUA